GCCUACGGGGGGCAGCAGUGAGGAAUAUUGGUCAAUGGCCGAGAGGCUGAACCAGCCAAGUCGCGUGAGGGAAGAAUGUCCUAUGGAUUGUAAACCUCUUUUGUCAGGGAGCAAAGUCACCCACGUGUGGGUGUUGGAGAGUACCUGAAGAAAAAGCAUCGGCUAACUCCGUGCCAGCAGCCGCGGUAAUACGGAGGAUGCGAGCGUUAUCCGGAUUUAUUGGGUUUAAAGGGUGCGCAGGCGGUCUGUUAAGUCAGCGGUCAAAGCCCGGGGCUCAACCCCGGCCCGCCGUUGAAACUGGCAGU
rnacentral:rRNA from 1 species